CAGGCUAUAUAAGGUGACUAAAUUCGAUCCAAAAGUCAUACUUGAUCCAGGAAGAAUCACAAGAAGUCAUGUCGGGGUAAAGUUGGAAGAACCUUGCUGAGGAUGAACUUCGGCGGCGAAAGAUGAGGAAGGCGAAACACAAACGCUUGCUCGCAGCGAAUAAUAGAAAGAAUCGUCGGAGUGGAAAGAUGUUGGACCUGCCUUGGGACAUAAUGCACGCAAAUACAAAACUCGAUUUCGAUGAUGUGCAUGAGUAAUAUAUGCAUAAGUAAAAUAUGCAUGAGAUUUGGCUUUUGGCUGAGAUAUGCUGAACACUCUUCUGUUUACCUCCUUGAUUUUCAACUUUUUCGGAUUGCGGUUUUUGUGCAUGAAGUCUGGUCGUGUCAAGCGCAUGCGGAGUAAAUACAAGUGAUUUGGGGCCCCAUCACUUGUAUUUUCUCCAUCUUGAACGACAAUAGUCCGGAACAAAAAUAUCGCUCACAGAGCGCCUAAAACAUAAAAAUGCACGAGAAAUUGUAUUUCCAGAAGGAGAUAAUAGUCGAGUGUUUUGGUUUUCUCGGGAGCAUGAAGAAAA